rnacentral:tRNA from 1 species
GUGUAGCUCAGUGGUACAGCAUUUGUCUUGCAGGCUUGAGGCCCUGGGUUCAAUCCCCAGCAC